CACGUAGGCGGAUUGCUAAGUCGAGGGGUGAAAUCCUGGAGCUCAACUCCAGAACUGCCUUUGAUACUGGCGAUCUCGAGUCCGGGAGAGGUGAGUGGAACUGCGAGUGUAGAGGUGAAAUUCGUAGAUAUUCGCAAGAACACCAGUGGCGAAGGCGGCUCACUGGCCCGGUACUGACGCUGAGGUGCGAAGGCGUGGGGAGCAAACAGGAUUAGAUACCCUGGUAGUCCACGCCGUAAACGAUGGAUGCUAGCCGUUGGGGGGUUUACCCUUCAGUGGCGCAGCUAACGCAUUAAGCAUCCCGCCUGGGGAGUACGGUCGCAAGAUUAAA
rnacentral:rRNA from 1 species